GUCUGAUUUGCAAGAAUUUUCGUGGUGGCGGAGGAAAAGUGGAGUCUGGGGGGUAAAGGAGAGCAGCGUGAGGGUGGCGCGGGUCACGCACCAUGGCGUUUAGCACUUUCAUUGCUGCGUGCGGUUUACAAGAUUUAAAAAAUCAUAGAAUCCAGCACGAACUCCACCCUUCAUAAUCGAGUUCACCGCCCCUGGAUGUAGCACCUCUUAUCUGGGAACCACACCAUUAUCUGAAGCAAUAAAAUGAGUUAAAUCCUGAUCUUUCUUUCCAAAAAGCACAGGAAGCCGACUUGUUUACUUGUGGUUUUCAAAGUAGAAGAAAAGCCGCAGCAGCUUGAUGAAGACGUCUAUAGUAUAGUUAACCUUUAACGAUUAUCUGUUGGGGAUUGAAACUAAAGAUUGAACAAUUGUGGCUUGAUGAUCUUCUCUGUCUUCAGAAUUGAGAACUACCCUGAGUCAGUGCGAACGAGAAAACUUUUCAUUGCCCUUUUAACCAAACUUGGCAUUACAACGAAAAAAUGAAAUAAAGCGAGGCUUUUUGUGUGCGUGAAGAGCAAAACUUGCUUCUACAAGAAAAAGUAAAUUUAGUUUCUUUAGAAGACACUAAUUAUACUCUUAACAUUUAAAACAAGCGCUUGAAAUGAAAACAUUCGCAUUUCCCCCUCAUUUCAAAACUUUUCUCUGGGGAAUAAUUAAUUCCUUUGCAGUAAGAGAGUGCAUGGACAUACUGUGUUCCUCUCUUGGUGUACUGAAUACAAAAACUGUGAGCAAGUAAAUAAUGCCCGAGGACAAUGGAUUGGAAGGAGUCUUCCAGCCUUUCUUAAAUAUACCUACCCAGUAAUCACUCUGCCACUGUGCAAGGGACAAAGAGCUCAAGGUCUAGAAGGGACCAAGAGGAGGCCCAGGAAAAGGAGAGGAAACACAAGAAAAAGGCAGAGAGAGGGAUACCUUGAAAUGGAAUGCAGGCCUGGGACUCCAUAAGCCUGCUGUUCCAGCCAGCCUGGCUUCCAUUGACGACCAGCUUUGGCUGUUCCAACUCACCACAGCCUCUGAAAGACCCAUGCUCUCUUUGGAUUGCUUGGUACCUGCAGCACGUUUCCAUGCCUGGGAGGUAUUGUAGCCAUUUCAUCAAUUAAUUCUCAGAGCUUAGUCUUAUUUCCCUUAUUGUCAAGUUCUUGGGCAGCACUGCACUGUACUCACAGAGCACCUGCAAGGGAGUGGGUUUGUCAGGGUGAAGUAACGGUGCAAGAGAGUGUGUGAUAAAGGGCCUUGGAGAGGAGCAGAAUGGAGAAGUGGCUGGAGCUGUGGGGGAGGUCUCCAGGGAGGCAGGACUUCAGCAGGACCCUGAAAGCUGAGUAAGUUUCAUCAGGGUGGUGGUAGGCAAGGAGUUUCUCUGGUAGAUUUGAGUAAUGGGACAUUGGUUAUAGAAACUGAAUCUUGAUUUUAGUGUUGAAUGAACUAUGAGGUUAUAAAUCUUUUUCAUUCUGUAACUCUGUUGGUUCGGUCAUGCAUUAUUUGGUCAGCUGGUACACUAAAGCCUUGACAGUUUUGACCCUCCAUUUGGCACUUUUUCCACUUUAGCAAUCUCAUAAGCCGGUUCCAAUAACAGCAAAUAGUAAGAAGCUGAGUCCAGGUCUUUCGCUCUAAUUUCCCCAGGGCACCCCAGCUUCACUGUAGUUUCUCAGAUCCAAUGAUGGCAAGAGAGUUGAUACACCUCCUAAGUGCAGUCUCUAUAAUUUAAAAUUUCAGGGAGGUUACAUCCUGAACAAGGUGGCACAGCUACAUCAUGACAUCUUAAAAUUGAGUAGUUUCUGAGAACCAGAGUUGUAGAAGCAUACCACAUCUGUACCAACUUGUUGAAGUAAAAGGAUAAAUUGUAGAGAAGGUACUUAAAAAGCUUAUCAAAUAUAAAAUAUUUUGGUACAACUGAAUUGGAAAAGUUGCAGUUAAGUCAGAA
rnacentral:lncRNA from 10 species